rnacentral:lncRNA from 1 species
UCCCCAGCACUCCAGAGGCGUCUGCCUCAUUUACAUCUGAAGAUGCUGUUGCUCGGGUGACACGUGGCAUGGGGACCCCCUUCCCUCCAGCACUGGAGCGAGUGCCCCUUUCAGCAUAUUCGCUUUAAGCUCUGCAUUAAAUUCUCAAUUUGAACUUGAUCCCAGUUGUUGGGAGCAGCCAGUUUAGCGACGAGAGCCUUUGUUUGCCUCCCAAGCACAAAGAGCUCCUGAAAGGCACGUGGAAAGAUGAACCCCUUUUCAGGACGUGUCUGUUAAGAGUACGACUUUAUAACUGUAGGCCCACACCCGGCGCAGGCUCAAAUGCGUCUUUCUUGGCGAGACAUAUUGGAGACAUAUGGACCGAGCAAUGGAAAGAUCUACGGUGAUCCUCAAGCAGCCAGGGUGGGGGAAGAAGAAGCUCCGGCGUGAGGAGGUGGCGAGGAGCAACAGCAAGCUGUUCGGAUGUGAUGAGGUGAGCGAAGCGCAGGGCGCCCUCGGCUGGCUCUGCAGGGCCGGCCAAGGGGAGGGGCGGGACUGCGGAAGCUCAUCUGAUGUUUGCGGAAGCUCAUCUGAUGUUUGCGGCAGCUCAUCUGAUGUUUGCGGCAGCUCAUCUGAUGUUUGCGGCAGCUCUGCGGCCUGUUACCCGGCAGGAGGCGCCUGCAUCAGAGAGUGGAGCAGGGAAAGAAAAGUCCUGAACUUCUUUCAGCACUCACCAGCUGUUCCAGAUGUUGGGAUUACACAUGGAGGACCACAUUUUGAGCUAAAAAUAUGACCUCGUGCUUGCCAGACAGGAGCGGCACCGCUGAGCUAAAUCCCCAGCCCAAUAACAAGUACUUUAAAGCUUCCUCUCAACUUUUACAAGAUCAACUUUGAGAUCCCUCGUCCGAGUAAGAUCAUUUCCCUUUACAUAAUGAUCUCCAGUUCCAACACUGCUGUAAAGGACUGGAUUUCGUCCCUUCUUAAGGCUGAAUGUGUACAUCACAAUCUUCAUCCAUUCUUCAGUUGAUGAAUAGAUACUUCACUUCUUCUCAUUCCCAGCUUUUAACAGGGAUUCAAUCCUGCUGUGAAAUAGUCUACAGUCUAUCAUGAAGAAAUCAAAUAAUGGGAUUAAACUAAGUACAUCAGUCAGCAAUGGGAUGAUUUAUAUUAUGCCUGUUGUGCAGAUGAGGAAAUCCGAAGGCCCAAUCACACAACACCUCCCUUCUCCUUCUGUGUGCCUUCCUGUAUGACAACCAGUGAAGGACAAAAACUACACUUCUUGGGAGGAUUCUGUCCUCUGGACUGAAGCCUGAAAUCUCCCAGACAAAUUGGUCACAAUUCUCAUCGAUUCCCACGAAUGCAGAAACUAUCAAAAUUCAGAAGCACUGCAUCUCUGGAGAGGAGGGAGUUGCAGCAGGAGAAGCCAUGAGAUCUCUCUUUCUUUUUUAUUGUUUUGUUUUUCGAGAUCUCUCUUUCAUGCUUCCACUCUUCCACUGGGCAUCUCCAUGCUUCACUGUAGAGACCAUGAGGCAGUUUGGCACCGCCUGAAACAUGGGAGGGACAAGUGUUGCUUUCAUUCAGAAGCCCUAAGUCACUGAGCUCUUCUGUGUUCACCAAGAGGAAAAUGCACCUAUGUUUUUUUGAUAUCUCUGACAUGAAAUACAAAUCGUACCAAUUCAGCUUCCAUAUAAUAGUCCUUACAUUUUCUCAUUAUACUUUUCAAAAAUCACAUGUAAUCUCUUUCUGUCUUCUUACCUUGACUAUGUGUUCCUUGAGCAUAAGGACCAUGUCUUUGCAUCUUCAAAAAACUCUCUGUAGCACCUGGCAUUGUGUCUAGCCUAAAAGUAAGUUCAUAAAAAUUUCAGUUUUUCAAAUUUUGUGAGUAAAUAUCAGCAGUGAAAUGUGUAGUACAUAAAAGUCCUUUCACUCAAAGAUGUCUGAAAACACAUGCAUAAAAAUGGGUGAAUGAAUGAAAGAAUGAACAAGCGAAAGGUCUGGGAUGUCAAAGAGGUGAUUGUGUUGGUGACCAAUGAAGAAACCAAUGUCGAUAGUUUUCAGAAACAGUUCCUAGUAGCCCAGCCAGGGGCUUGUCCUCUGGCUUUAACUUUUUCUUGUUAAGAUCUAAUCAUAGGAAUCUGUGGUUAGCAGUAAAGAAUCCCCUUCUAUUCACUCACAUUCAUUUCAAAAAUAUUUAUGGAUUGCCUGUUACGUGUCAGGCACAGUUCUUGGCGCUAGAAGUAAGAAAAAGAUAGAGAACAAACAUCCUUCUUCUCAUUGAGUUUAUGUUGAUGUCUUGUUACUUUCCUCAUUUCUGGGACAAAAUACAUGAAUGACACCCACAGCUUAAAAAAAUGAGAGGUUUAUUUCUCUCAUGUUUCAGAAUUUCAGUCCUAGCAUGGUCCGCUGGCUCCAGGCAGAAGCAGCAUGGGGGAAGGUCCGCUCAGGACAAGAUGGACAGGAAGGAGCUGGAGGUGGGACACAGCCUUCCGGUCACAUCCCCAGGGACCUGUGUUUCUGAUCUUGCCCCUACCUCCCAACAAGUCGGCUACCAACCCUCAUCACCCCAUCACCUUCCAAGCACAUGAGGCUUGGGGGGGCAUUUUAGAUCUAAACCGUAGCAGUAGAGGUUUAAUUUGAGACCAAAAAUUAAUAGUAAAUUCAGUAAGUGACAAAUGUUAGAAGUUACUUAUUCUAGAAAAAGUGGGGCAGGAUCAGGGCUCUGUGGGCUCUGGGAAGAGUGCUGUGCUUGAGUCUUUAACAGUGCACAAAGGACAGACCCUGGGGAGCAGGUGACACUGGGGUGCAUUAGCUGGGGAGGCCCUGGGAGAAGAGAUUUCCUGGAGCAGGGUGAGGGUGGAGGCUCUGCUGAUGCUGGAACAGUUGAGAAAGGGCGGGAAGUGACAGCCAGCCAGGGGAAAGGACCAGGCUGGGUGGAUCUUGUAGGGCCCUGUGGCUUUUUCUCCAGUGGAGAGGAAGCCAUUGGAGGGUUCCGAGUAGAGGACGGUUAUAACCCUGGCAACUUCAGAGGAUCCCUCUGGCUGCCAUGUGAGGAUGGAUGAGAGGUGAGCAAUGGGGGAGAGGAGGGGUAGUUUGAAGGGAUUGAGGUGGUUUUAUUUCAACAAUAGUAGCAAUCCAAUUUAUUGUGAUAAGUGCAAUAAACACAAAACACUAUGAAAACACACAAGAAUAGCACUUGAUUCGGAAAAGGGAGUCAAGAUUUCUAGAGGAAGUGGCUUCCUGGCUGGGAUAUUCAUGAGGGGUGGAAUUGACCAGGUGUGGAAAUGGGCACCAUAGGGGAAGCUGUCACAGGCACGAAGGGAGAGCGAGGUUCUCAUCACAGGACACAAGGGAGACUGAGUCAUUCCUCUGCUGAGAUGAGGAGGGCAGUUCACAAGGGGAACAGAGAACAAGGGCGCAAGGGCCAGAUCAGAAAGGGCUGAUGUUAUUUGCCUG